rnacentral:rRNA from 1 species
AUUGAACGCUGGCGGCAGGCUUAACACAUGCAAGUCGAACGAGUGGCGGACGGGUGAGUAAUGUAUGGGAAACUGCCUGAUGGAGGGGGAUAACUACUGGAAACGGUAGCUAAUACCGCAUACCAUCAGAUGUGCCCAGAUGGGCUUAGCUAGUUGGUGGGGUAACGGCUCACCAAGGCAACGAUCCGUAACUGGUCUGAGGGGAUGGUCAGUCGCACUGGAACUGAGACACGGUCCAGACUCCUACGGGAGGCAGCAGUUGGGAAUAUGGGACAAUGGGCGAAAGCCUGGUCCAGCCAUGCCGCGUGUGUGAAGAAGGUCUUCGGAUUGUAAAGCACUUUAAGUUGGGAGGCGUUACCAACAGAAUAAGCACCGGCUAACUCCGUGCCAGCAGCCGCGGUAAUUC